GACGAACGCUGGCGGCGUGCUUAACACAUGCAAGUCGAACGAAGUGGCGAACGGGUGAGUAACGCGUAAUCAACCUGCCCUUCAGAGGGGGACAACAGUUGGAAACGACUGCUAAUACCGCAUACUGAAGGAGGGGAUUGCGUCUGAUUUGCUAGUUGGAGGGGUAAUGGCCCACCAAGGCGAUGAUCAGUAGGCGGUCUUGCAGAAUGAACGGCCACAUUUUGACUUGGAAACGGCCCAGACUCCUACGGGAGGGAGCAGUGGGGAAUCUUCCGCAAUGGACGAAAGUCUGACGGAGCAACGCCGCGGGAGUGAGGACGGCCUUCGGGUUGUAAAGCUCUGUUAAUCGGGACGCGGUACCGGAAUAGAAAGCAACGGCUAACUACGUGCCAGCCGCCGCGGUAAUUC
rnacentral:rRNA from 1 species